rnacentral:rRNA from 1 species
AGAGCGAACGCUGGCGGCAUGCUUAACACAUGCAAGUCGCACGAACGGUUUCGGCCGUUAGUGGCGGACGGGUGAGUAUCGCGUAGGAAUCUAUCCAUGGGUGGGGGACAACUCCGGGAAACUGGAGCUAAUACCGCAUGAUGCCUGAGGGCCAAAGGUUGCAAGACCGCCUGUGGAGGAGCCUGCGUUCGAUUAGCUUGUUGGUGGGGUAAUGGCCUACCAAGGCGAUGAUCGAUAGCUGGUCUGAGAGGAUGAUCAGCCACACUGGGACUGAGACACGGCCCAGACUCCUACGGAGGCAGCAGUGGGGAAUAUUGGACAAUGGGCGCAAGCCUGAUCCAGCAAUGCCGCGUGUGUGAAGAAGGUCUUAGGAUUGUAAAGCACUUUCGACGGGACGAUGAUGACGGUACCCGUAGAAGAAGCCCGGCUAACUUCGUGCCAGCAGCCGC